CAGAGUAAUACAUGAAAAUUCAGGAGAUGAAUAAAACCCUAAGUUAUCUACCAUCGAGACAGAGAGAAGAGAAGAGAAUGGCGAUGAACAAAAUCCUAAGUUAUCUACCUUCGAUGUAGCUGUCAUUGUAGUCGCUGGUUCUGCCGCCGUUACCGUCGCCGUUAUAGUCGCCAGUUUCGCCGCUGUUGCCGCCACAGUUGUCACAGGAAGCUUCUUAAUUGAGCCACCUCCUCAUCAACAUUGUGGUUUCAGAUCUGUUUACUCUAUCGCUACGCUUGCCGCUACAGUUUCUGCCGCCGUGAUUUCUACCAUCGUUGCCGCCGUAGUUUCUGCAGUCGAAGGCUUCUGAAUCGAGCCACUGUUUCAUAUCUGUUUUCUCCUUCGAGCUACCGCUGGUAUUCUUCUUUUUCUCCAUAUUUCAUUUGUCUAUGUUUUUCUUCUUCUUUGAAGUUCCAAUUGAUCAACCAGCGCGGCGACUUUUCUUUCGUGCUAUUUUACCGUACUUGAUCAACCACUACCAGCUUAGGGUAAUCAUUUUAAUGUGUUAAAUCGGUGCCUAAUACCGUACUUGUUUCAACAAUGAAGCAAUUGUCAUUUGGUUAUUAUGUUAACUGGACUCAUGAUUAUGGAAUUUUACCAUUGUGCAGCGUCCUGCAAAUUGAAAUGGAAUUGGAAGUGGAAAUGGCUCGUCUGAAUAUGCUUGCAUGCUUUUACUUGUUCAUUCUUGCCACAAUUUCAUGUUUCACUGGGAUAUUCUGCAUUUCUAUAUUAUUCAAUUGCUUUGUGAUUUAUGUGAUAAUAUUUUAUUUUCUUGCUCUUUAAUUUUGUUUGAGAUAUUAUGAUUGCAAGAUAUUAUAAAUUGAUUGCAAUGUAGUUUUCCAAGUUCAUCUUAGACUAAGAUCUUGAGAAUAGUAAAGGUUCAUAUGAUAUACGAGUAUUGCAUUGUCUUUAUUGUUGUUUUGGUUACCAAUUUUGUUCUUUAUUACUUCUCUUGCAAUUAUUCUUAGCUGCUCAAGAAUGCUUAGCCAAUUCUUCAAUUAACAAUUUAUUUUGAUGUUACUGUUUGAAGUAUCUUUUAGAAAUGGGAGAGCUUGUGAUCCAUACAAAUCAUAAGCUUAACUUUUUGUCAUUUCUUCUAUCACCUUAAUUAGAUCCUCAUUUCUCAUUACUUAUUACAGAUGAUGCUGAUGUUUCAUUUUAAAAGGAACGUUCUUAAUUUUUUUUUCAGGGACUUUUCCCCCUUUUGAUCAAAGAUUUGAUAGCUACUGAUUAGUAUAUGCAGUGAUUUAUCCAAUGGAUAGUCAUUUCCUUUUUCAGCAUUAGUUUAUAGAAAUUGGUUUCAGCAUUAUCAUUAUGCAUUUGAGUCAUUUAUGCUGAUAUUUGUGUAACUUUUAGGUUUUGCAAUUAGCAACUCUCUCUGCUUUUAGUUUCAGCAUCCGCUUCCUCUACGCUGAUUACAAAAUGAUUGCAUAAUCCAGUUUGGUCUUGGUCAAUCAAAAAUGGCUCCCGCAUCUGCAAAGUCUAUAAAGGCUAGAGGAUGGAAUCAGAGAGUGCUAAGGUGUAUCCUGAGUCUUCUCCCAUUCCUCCUUCAAAAGUUGCAGAUCCAAGGCCUGGACCAGCUAAAUCUUCUCAAGAUUCUGGACCUGGUCCCAGUAUAUACCGACACCUACAUAUUCCUGUGAAAAUGAUGGAAGAUUUUUUGAGACUGGCUUCCGAAAACACACAGAAAAACUUAGAGAUAUGUGGUGUUCUUGCAGGCUCCCUGAAAAACAGGGUUUUUCAUAUCACUACACUUAUUAUCCCAAAGCAGGAGUCAACUUCAGACUCGGUAAGAUAAUGGUUAUGUUUACUCUUGUGGUUCAGUUUGUUGUUUUUAAAUGAUUAUAUAGACUGUUUCUUCAUUUUUUCUAUUUCCAAUUUUAUCCUAUCAGAUAAAGUGAGACUUCUACUGAUCUGAGGUUGUGAUGCAUGGAGUUUAUGAGUGGUGCAUAAUUUGUUCUUAUUGUUAUCUGAGAUUAUUUAUCUACAUUUGUUGUGAAAGUGCUACUAAACCUCUGUUGGAAUUGUAAAUCAUAUGAUAGGAUUUUUUCAAUUACUUUUAAAGGAAACUGGUUCUUAAGCCAAUUCUCUUGGAAUUAUCGUUGGGGGAUAAAAUGAUUCUCAAAUGGAAUAAUGCAAAACAUAUAUGAAUAGAGCUAAAUACAGUAUUCCUUAGAAUUAGGAGACUCAAGAUUGUAAUUCUCUCAUGAUUCAUUAAUGAUUUUUUUUUAACUGUUUGUUGUAAUUUUAAUUAUUUUCAGUUGAGCAAUGUAUGUCUAAUUUAAUUUCUUGUUCAAUGUUUAAAAUUGAAUAAUGAAGAAGAAAUAUUUGAAGUUCAGGACAGCUUAUCACUCUUUCCUUUAGGCUGGAUACAUGUAAGCUCCAUUAUCCUUGACUGUCACUUAUUCAUUCUUAGCUCUGACGGUGGGUUGAACCAUCAAUGUUUUCCCCAAUAUAGAUAGUUAGAUACAACUGAAGAUAGAAACCCUUUUGAUAGAUAGCAGAACUUAUUUGCAUCCUUCUUUAGUGAUCCUUUGGCGUGUUUGUGAGUUGAGGUUUUGCAGGAAAAGAGAAAGAAGGGAUAUAUUUGAAGAGUAAAAUGAACUCAUAAUUACUCUUCAAACUCUUCCUUGCACUCCCUUCUCCCGAACAUACUCUUAUUGUACUAGUUUUAAAUGUCCAGUUUAUCAUAUUUCUAUAUUUGA